rnacentral:rRNA from 1 species
GAGUUUGAUCAUGGCUCAGAUUGAACGCUGGCGGCAUGCUUUACACAUGCAAGUCGAACGGUAACAGGUCUUCGGAUGCUGACGAGUGGCGAACGGGUGAGUAAUACAUCGGAACGUGCCUAGUAGUGGGGGAUAACUACUCGAAAGAGUAGCUAAUACCGCAUGAGAUCUACGGAUGAAAGCAGGGGACCUUCGGGCCUUGUGCUACUAGAGCGGCUGAUGGCAGAUUAGGUAGUUGGUGGGGUAAAGGCUUACCAAGCCUGCGACCUGUAGCUGGUCUGAGAGGACGACCAGCCACACUGGGACUGAGACACGGCCCAGACUCCUACGGGAGGCAGCAGUGGGGAAUUUUGGACAAUGGGCGAAAGCCUGAUCCAGCAAUGCCGCGUGCAGGAUGAAGGCCCUCGGGUUGUAAACUGCUUUUGUACGGAACGAAAAGCCUGGGGCUAAUAUCCCCGGGUCAUGACGGUACCGUAAGAAUAAGCACCGGCUAACUACGUGCCAGCAGCCGCGGUA